rnacentral:rRNA from 1 species
UACAGAGGGUGCGAGCGUUUAAUCGGAAUUACUGGGCGUAAAGCGCGCGUAGGCGGCUUUGCAAGUCGAGUGUGAAAUCCCCCAGGCUUAACCUGGGAACUGCAUUCGAGACUGCAUAGCUAGAGUAUGGGAGAGGGAAGUGGAAUUUCAGGUGUAGCGGUGAAAUGCGUAGAUAUCUGAAGGAACAUCAGUGGCGAAAAGCGACUUCCUGGACCAAUACUGACGCUCAUGUGCGAAAAGCGUGGGGGAGCAAACAGG